AGACUUAGAUGACAAGAGAAAUGGAGUCUGAGAGAGGAGAAAUCUUGUUAUUGAUUCAUCAACUGGAAUGAGUGAAUACAAGUGAGUUUCUUCCUAUUUAACAAGUAGCAUAACUGCUGUCUAACUUAAUAAGCUGUCUCAAUUGAUUCUUUAACAGACUAAUAGCUUUCCCCCCCAAAUUCUAUUCUAUCCAACCCUCCCAAUUUCUCUCUCUUUAAUUUUCUUCCCUUUCCUAUAAUUGUAAUAAUAUAUUCCCUAAGAGAAUCUUCUUGUCCCCAAG
rnacentral:misc_RNA from 1 species